GUGCUCGCUUCGGCAGCGCUUAUACUAAAAUUGGAACGAUACGGAGAAGAUUCGCAUGGCCCCUGUGCAAGGAUGACACGCAAAUUUGCAAAGCGUUCCGUAUUUUU
ensembl:snRNA U6 U6 spliceosomal RNA